rnacentral:lncRNA from 1 species
GUUCCUAAACUUUUUAAGAUCUUUAAAUAUCUUUUCCAUCUUUUGUCCAUGUUUAUGGACCGAUGUGCCCUUUGCCAUUUUGGCAUUCAUUAGACUACAAACAUUUGAGAAUCGUACAUUACUAGUCUCAAUGUCAUGCAUCUUAUGCAAACUUUCAACCAUGGCACAAGAAGUAUCCAUGUGCUUAUGUAGCUUCAUAAGCUCCUCACUAAGUGAAGUAAGGAUUAAGCAUUUGGCUUGUAAAUCAUCCUCAUAGUGUCUAACAUAAUUUUGACACUCCUCCUUUGAAGCUAGUUUCGUAGGAGGUAUAUGAGGAGGGGAUUGCUUAAGCACAUACAAUAUGUCUUUCACCUUUGAGACAUUUCUCAAUGUGGCGAUACCAAGCAAGGAAACGUUGGCCCUUAAGGCCCUUUUUGUCAAGUAUAAUGAUGGGUAUAAUUUUAGGCAUGUCGUUAACUACAUAACAUAACAGAAAUCGUAUUAGAUUGUUUGUUUAAAACUAUUUGAUUGGGUCUUUGAAUCAAAAUAGUACCACCCACUAUUUUUGGCAAAUUCCACAUCCCUCAAUAGAAUUCGAGAGUUAUAUUGAACUCUUAG